rnacentral:rRNA from 1 species
AUAACAAUGGCUUUAGUGGCGGACUGGUGAGUAACGCGUGAGCAACCUGCCUACUAGAGGGGAAUAACAGUGAGAAAUCAUUGCUAAUACCGCAUAUGCCAUGAACAUCACAUGAUGAAAGUGGGAAAAGAGUAAUCUGCUAGUAGAUGGGCUCGCGUCUGAUUAGAUAGUUGGUGGGGUAACGGCCUACCAAGUCGACGAUCAGUAGCCGGACUGAGAGGUUGAACGGCCACAUUGGGACUGAGAUACGGCCCAGACUCCUACGGGAGGCAGCAGUCGGGAAUAUUGCGCAAUGGAGGAAACUCUGACGCAGUGACGCCGCGUAUAGGAAGAAGGUUUUCGGAUUGUAAACUAUUGUCGUUAGGGAAGAUACAAGACAGUACCUAAGGAGGAAGCUCCGGCUAACUACGUGCCAGCAGCCGCGGUAAUACGUAGGGAGCAAGCGUUAUCCGGAUUUAUUGGGUGUAAAGGGUGCGUAGACGGGAAAGCAAGUUAGUUGUGAAAUCCCUCGGCUUAACUGAGGAACUGCAACUAAAACUGUUUUUCUUGAGUGUUGGAGAGGAAAGUGGAAUUCCUAGUGUA